rnacentral:rRNA from 1 species
AUUGAACGCUGGCGGCAGGCCUAACACAUGCAAGUCGAGCGGAUGAAGGGAGCUUGCUCCUGGAUUCAGCGGCGGACGGGUGAGUAAUGCCUAGGAAUCUGCCUGGUAGUGGGGGAUAACGUCCGGAAACGGGCGCUAAUACCGCAUACGUCCUGAGGGAGAAAGUGGGGGAUCUUCGGACCUCACGCUAUCAGAUGAGCCUAGGUCGGAUUAGCUAGUUGGUGGGGUAAAGGCCUACCAAGGCGACGAUCCGUAACUGGUCUGAGAGGAUGAUCAGUCACACUGGAACUGAGACACGGUCCAGACUCCUACGGGAGGCAGCAGUGGGGAAUAUUGGACAAUGGACGAAAGCCUGAUCCAGCCAUGCCGCGUGUGUGAAGAAGGUCUUCGGAUUGUAAAGCACCUUAAGUUGGGAGGAAGGGCAGUAAGUUAAUACCUUGCUGUUUUGACGUUACCAACAGAAUAAGCACCGGCUAACUUCGUG